rnacentral:rRNA from 1 species
UACGUGGGGUGCGAGCGUUAAUCGGAAUUACUGGGCGUAAAGCGUGCGCAGGCGGCUUUGCAAGACAGAGGUGAAAUCCCCGGGCUCAACCUGGGAACUGCCUUUGUGACUGCAAGGCUAGAGUACGGCAGAGGGAGAUGGAAUUCCGCGUGUAGCAGUGAAAUGCGUAGAUAUGCGGAGGAACACCGAUGGCGAAGGCAAUCUCCUGGGCCUGUACUGACGCUCAUGCACGAAAGCGUGGGGAGCAAACAGG